rnacentral:rRNA from 1 species
AGUGAACGCUGGCGGUAGGCCUAACACAUGCAAGUCGAACGGCAGCACAGUAAGAGCUUGCUCUUACGGGUGGCGAGUGGCGGACGGGUGAGGAAUACAUCGGAAUCUACUUUUUCGUGGGGGAUAACGUAGGGAAACUUACGCUAAUACCGCAUACGACCUACGGGGGAAAGCAGGGGAUCUUCGGACCUUGCGCGAUUGAAUGAGCCGAUGCCGGAUUAGCUAGUUGGCGGGGUAAAGGCCCACCAAGGCGACGAUCCGUAGCUGGUCUGAGAGGAUGAUCAGCCACACUGGAACUGAGACACGGUCCAGACUCCUACGGGAGGCAGCAGUGGGGAAUAUUGGACAAUGGGCGCAAGCCUGAUCCAGCCAUACCGCGUGGGUGAAGAAGGCCUUCGGGUUGUAAAGCCCUUUUGUUGGGAAAGAAAAGCAGCAGGUUAAUACCCCGCUGUUCUGACGGUACCCAAAGAAUAAGCACCGGCUAACUUCGUG